GGCUCGGUAGCUCAGUUGGUAGAGCAACGGACUGAAAAUCCGUGUGUCACCAGUUCGAUUCUGGUCUGAGCCACCA
rnacentral:tRNA from 1 species